UGGAAAUACCUGGGGAAGCGGGAAGU
rnacentral:piRNA from 1 species